UACGUAGGGUGCGAGCGUUAAUCGGAAUUACUGGGCGUAAAGUGUGCGCAGGCGGCCGAGCAAGUCGAGUGUGAAAGCCCCGAGCUUAACUUGGGAACUGCGCUCGAAACUACUUGGCUAGAGUGUGGCAGGAGGGAGGUGGAAUUCCACGUGUAGCGGUGAAAUGCGUAGAGAUGUGGAGGAACACCGAUGGCGAAGGCCAGCC
rnacentral:rRNA from 1 species